GAUGAAGAACGCAGCGAAAUGCGAUAAGUAAUGUGAAUUGCAGAAUUCAGUGUAUCAUCGAAUCUUUGAACGCACAUUGCGCCCGUCAGUAUUCUGGCGGGCAUGCCUGUUCGAGCGUCAUUACGCCCCUCAAGUCCCCUGUGGACUUGGUGUUGGGGAUCGGCGAGGCUGGUUUUCCAGCACAGCCGUCCCUUAAAUUAAUUGGCGGUCUCGCCGUGGCCCUCCUCUGCGCAGUAGUAAAACACUCGCAACAGGAGCCCGGCGCGGUCCACUGCCGUAAAACCCCCCAACUUUUUAUAGUUGACCUCGAAUCAGGUAGGACUACCCGCUGAACUUAAGCAUAUCAAUAAGCGGAGGA
rnacentral:misc_RNA from 1 species